AACCUUAUGGACCUGCGGGCGUAUACCUGCGGAAGGAUCAUUACACAAUACAAUAUGAAGGCUGUCCGCAGCUGGAGUAUUUUAUUACCCUUGUCUUUUGCGCACUUGUUGUUUCCUGGGCGGGUUCGCUCGCCACCAGGACCACCAAAUAAACCUUUUUUAUGCAGUUGCAAUCAGCGUCAGUACAAACAAUGUAAAUCAUUUACAACUUUUAGCAACGGAUCUCAGAUCGGAAGAGCA
rnacentral:misc_RNA from 1 species